UGUGUAUGCAUGUGGAUGCAUAUGUAUGUGUGCAUGCACACGUGUACUUGAAUACCUUUUUAAAAAUCCACAGAAAAGUAAACAGUACAUAC
rnacentral:miRNA from 1 species